rnacentral:lncRNA from 1 species
UUAAGCCGCUAAGUGUGGGGAUGAAAUUGUUACAUAGCGACAGAUAACAAAAACAGAGGGUACAAAGAUGAUAGCUCACCAUCUUUGGGCUGAAAGGAGCUUGAAAUCCAGGUGAGAAGAGCAGGUACGCACUGGCGGGGAGAAGCCCCAUAGCAUGUUGCCGUUGAGAGUCCCAACAGGACUUGGAGACCAGAGUUGCCAAGGAAUGGGGCGAUUUUUAAACUCAGCUUCUGAUUUAUAGUUGAUGGUGGAAAUUCCUACAAGUUUGAAGUAACUUGGAUUCACAUUACCAUUUUUAUAAUGAUAAUUAAUAAUAAGAAUUUUCGUGCAUUAUCUUAUUCGAUCAUCAUAAAAGCCCAAUAGGUAGUCAAUUAGUCCAGCUUUACAAUUCUACUGGAUCAUUUAAGAAAAUUAAGAAAUGUCUGGCUCUAGUUGAUCAAUUUAACACAAGCACGCUUACCCUGGACAGAGAAGCAAUGAUGCGGUAAACACAACGGCAGAGAGAAAACAGAGGACGCGAUCCACGCUGCGGAGCAGUUUAGAACCUGGGCGGGCACUUGUGACACAAACUCACGCUCACAAAUAGCCAACAACGGUGAGGAAGACGCGGGAAGUGCACGACGCUAGGUGCCAGUCAAAUGCAGAGUCUGACGCAUUCGGCUGUCUUCAGUAGUCUUUCGCUUCAGGCUACCCUUGCUCCAGACGCGUCCUGUGGUUCCGAUCCAGGCUUGACAACGAAAAUCCAAGCUCAGCCCUCCUUCACCUCCUUUGUCUUUCUUCCCGGGAAGCCGUGGUCCAGCGCAGCCCAUCAGAGCCGGAGGUGAAGAGUUCUCUCUCCCUUCUUUCCCCUGCUAGCGCCAGCUGGGAUCUGCCGACUGACGCAGUUUCUCCCCUUCUGUCACAAGGGGCACGGUCCACCAGGCGCCCGCUGGUGGCCCUGGAUACAUCAUCCGGUGAGAACCCAGUUGACACAGGACGGAGCAGAGUGAAAGACUUGAUAAGGAGGUAGAUCUCCUUUGGAACCUGAAAGAAGGCAAGGAGAAGCGAGUGCGUUAGUGAGAGAGAAA